UGGAAAGGUGCAACAGGGUGCUCUGCUUGU
rnacentral:piRNA from 1 species